AUUGAACGCUGGCGGCAGGCUUAACACAUGCAAGUCGAGCGGAGAUGAGGUGCUUGCACCUUAUCUUAGCGGCGGACGGGUGAGUAAUGCUUAGGAAUCUGCCUAUUAGUGGGGGACAACAUUCCGAAAGGAAUGCUAAUACCGCAUAUGCCCUACGGGGGAAAGCAGGGGAUCUUCGGUCCUUGCGCUAAUCGAUGAGCCUAGGUCGGAUUAGCUAGUUGGUGGGGUAAAGGCCUACCAAGGCGACGAUCUGUAUCGGGUCUGAGAGGAUGAUCCGCCACACUGGGACUGAGACACGGCCCAGACUCCUACGGGAGGCAGCAGUGGGGAAUAUUGGACAAUGGGCGGAAGCCUGAUCCAGCCAUGCCGCGUGUGUGAAGAAGGCCUUUUGGUUGUAAAGCACUUUAAGCGAGGAGGAGGCUACCUGGAUUAAUACUCUAGGAUAGUGGACGUUACUCGCAGAAUAAGCACCGGCUAACUCUGUGCCAGCCGCCGCUGUAAUAC
rnacentral:rRNA from 1 species